CCGCCUGAUAUUUUGACUCAUGCCUCUAUUGUCGACACGGGUGAGCAAACUCUCAGGUGCGC
rnacentral:pre_miRNA from 1 species